ensembl:lncRNA
AACUGGGGUCCACAGAUGUUCUUGGACUGCAGUUCCCAGAAGCCUUCACCACUUCCUGUGCUGGCCAGGAUUUCGGGGAGUUGCAGUCCAAGAACAUCUGGGGAGCCCAGUUUGAGAACCACUGGUCUAGACCUUAGGGAAAGACGCCUUUCGGCCACAGAGACCAGGCGGACCAGCACCUGUCUAAGGGCAACCCUAUGGCAGGAGUGGCGUAGAUUAGAACAUCCUUCCCCAUUGACUCCAGAUGUGUCAGACUACAAGCCCCAUUACCCCCAGCAUGCAGUCCGGAGGACCCCUUGCCCCAGAACGGAGAAAGGCUGAAGUCGAAUAAUGUGGAUUUACAACCAAAUUAUUGGAUCCGCCUCCCCUCCGCCCCCCGCUGGGAGUCUCCGCGGGAAAGGAUUUUUGCUCCGUUCUAACGUUCUGAACUAACUCGAGGGUUCCGAAUUCGAGAUCUUUCUCUUUUGCCCCGGGAUUCCCCGGGUGGGUUGCCGGCUUCGACCGAGGAACCGGGCUUUGCUGCCCGACGAAUGAGGCAGCGGUCAGCUUCAGGAUUUGGUAGGAAGUCGCUGCGGUUGGAACUGGGAUCCCCUCGCCCUCUAUAUCGGUGAAAGGGGGGAGAGUGUCCCAUAAUCCGCUGGCAGUUGCGUCGGAAGCGAACGGGACAAGGGCUUCUACUUUCUUCCACCUUCGCUUCUAGAAGGCCGCCUUCUAGCGCUCCUUGACCUCGUUGGCCAGCCGUGGGGCGGGUUUGGUUUAUCCCUGGAGUUUUGACUCCGAAGGAACUGUCCCCUUUCAGCCUGGGACUCCCCCACCCCAACUUCUUUCUUCGGACACUUUAACCACUCAGCUGGGUUGCCACUGGAGGGGGUUGACAAGGGUGGGGAGAAGGCAGGAGACCAAAACACCUCUCUGGUCAUCAUAGAGGGGGGAGCAGGGCAUCCACACGCGAUAAAACAGAGACUCCCUUAAUGCGCCCUGACCUCCAGGGUGGGAAGCCUAAAGCACAGAGAGGAGAAGCAAAUCUCUCUUUCUCUCUCUCUCUCUCUCCUCUUAAUCCCCCCUCCCCCUUUGACAGCUUUAGCAGCCAUGGCAAGUUUAGGAGAAGUCUUCCCCCUCCCCACAUGCUAUCUGAAGAGUUCAGUCUUCCCAUGACCUGUGAAACAGACCCACUGGGUUCCUUCAGGGCCAAAGAACUAACCAUGUUGGCCUUAAAAUUCUCAAGACCGGGAUUGCGUCCAGCAGAGAGAAGUCCUGUUCAGGGCCUGCACUUGCUUUCUUCAACCUCAGAUGGUGGAGGGGUGGGGACAUCCAGUUUUGUCCACAGCAGAUGGUCCUUGUGGUGGUACCUGAAGCUCCUGCUUGUGGCGGCUCCCUGAAAAGUAACAGUCAACACUUGGAAACAUUAUUCUCUCUCUUUUUCUUCUUUUCACUAUUACUCCAAGAACUCCCUUGACAACUUGGGGGUGGUUGGGAUUCUGGCAGUUGCAGUCUGAACAAACAACAUUUGCAAGCUCUGGGAGCAGCGCUAUAUUUGGACUCAGUUUAAGCUAACACAACAUUGUUGUCUUUCCCCAAAUCAAGCAAAUCAACGAAAAAUUGCACCUUCCUUUCAGAACCCAGGCUCAAAUUCUGAAAUAUGUGAAAUGUUAAGUGUACCAUUGAGCAUGUGCAUAGUACUUCCCCACCACCACACUCUUAUCACUCAUUCAUUGGAAGACCAGAGAGUGGAA